rnacentral:rRNA from 1 species
UACAGAGGGUGCAAGCGUUAAUCGGAAUUACUGGGCGUAAAGCGUGCGUAGACGGUUCUGUAAGUCAGGUGUGAAAGCCCCGGGCUCAACCUGGGAAUGCCAUUUGAGACUGCAUAGCUAGGGUACGGAAGAGGGAAGCGGAAUUUCAGGUGUAGCGGUGAAAUGCGUAGAUAUCUGAAGGAACACCAGUGGCGAAAGCGGCUUCCUGGUCCAGUACCGACGUUCAGGCACGAAAGCGUGGGGAGCAAACAGG